GCUCCCGUAGUUCAAUGGAUAGAACUGCCGCGUCCUAAGCGGUUAAUGUCAGUUCGAUUCUGGCCGGGAGCA
rnacentral:tRNA from 1 species